GAUGAACGCUGGCGGCGUGCCUAAUACAUGCAAGUCGAGCGAACGGACGAGAAGCUUGCUUCUCUGAUGUUAGCGGCGGACGGGUGAGUAACACGUGGAUAACCUACCUAUAAGACUGGGAUAACUUCGGGAAACCGAAGCUAAUACCGGAUAAUAAUUUGAACCGCAUGGUUCAAAAGUGAAAGACGGUCUUGCUGUCACUUAUAGAUGGAUCCGCGCUGCAUUAGCUAGUUGGUAAGGUAACGGCUUACCAAGGCAACGAUGCAUAGCCGACCUGAGAGGGUGAUCGGCCACACUGGAACUGAGACACGGUCCAGACUCCUACGGGAGGCAGCAGUAGGGAAUCUUCCGCAAUGGGCGAAAGCCUGACGGAGCAACGCCGCGUGAGUGAUGAAGGUCUUCGGAUCGUAAAACUCUGUUAUUAGGGAAGAACAUAUGUGUAAGUAACUGUGCACAUCUUGACGGUACCUAAUCAGAAAGCCACGGCUAACUACGUG
rnacentral:rRNA from 1 species